UACGAAGGGUGCAAGCGUUACUCGGAAUUACUGGGCGUAAAGCGUGCGUAGGUUGUUUGUUAAGUCUGAUGUGAAAGCCCUGGGCUCAACCUGGGAAUUGCAUUGGAUACUGGCAGGCUAGAGUGCGGUAGAGGAUGGCGGAAUUCCCGGUGUAGCAGUGAAAUGCGUAGAGAUCGGGAGGAACAUCUGUGGCGAAGGCGGCCAUCUGGACCAGCACUGACACUGAGGCACGAAAGCGUGGGGAGCAAACAGG
rnacentral:rRNA from 1 species